UGACAAGGAAUCGAUGUUCAAAAAUUAAACAUCGAUGUUAUCCAUGCAUAACGAGAAAACAUCAAUAGAAGACCAGAAACCAUUGAUGUUUUUUCACACUCGAUUCUGAAACAUCGAAUCUUCAAAUCUAUAUAUUCGUAUAUACAAGAAACAUUGAAGAUAUUAUGGCUGCUAAAGGAGAGAAAGUGAGGAAAACUGCAGAAGAUUUUGUAAUUAAAGAAGAAUGAUAGUUUCUUUCUGCAUUUUAUUAAAAUGAAAAUGAUAAAAUAAAUAUGCAAAUUUUUA